rnacentral:rRNA from 1 species
UACGGGGGGGGCAAGCGUUGCUCGGAAUCACUGGGCGUAAAGCGCACGUAGGCGGCUUUUUAAGUCAGGGGUGAAAUCCUGGAGCUCAACUCCAGAACUGCCUUUGAUACUGAGAAGCUUGAGUCCGGGAGAGGUGAGUGGAACUGCGAGUGUAGAGGUGAAAUUCGUAGAUAUUCGGAGGAACACCAGUGGCGAAGGCGGCUCACUGGCUCGAUACUGACGCUGAGGUGCGAAAGCGUGGGGAGCAAACAGG